rnacentral:rRNA from 1 species
UACGGGGGGGGCAAGCGUUGUUCGGAAUUACUGGGCGUAAAGGGUUCGUAGGUGGCCUACUAAGUCAUACGUGAAAUCCCUCAGCUUAACUGGGGAACUGCGUCUGAGACUGGAAGGCUUGAGUGCAGGAGAGGAACGCGGAAUUCCAGGUGUAGCGGUGAAAUGCGUAGAUAUCUGGAGGAACACCGGUGGCGAAGGCGGCGUUCUGGACCGCAACUGACGCUGAGGCGCGAAAGCGUGGGGAGCAAACAGG